AAAGGGAGAUUAAUACCGCAUAAUAAACUUUUGCCGCAUGGCAGAAGCUUUAAAGGAGUAAUCCGCUUUGAGAUGGACCCGCGGCGCAUUAGUUAGUUGGCAGGGUAAAGGCCUACCAAGACAGCGAUGCGUAGCCGACCUUAGAGGGUGAUCGGCCACAUUGGAACUGAGAGACGGUCCAGACUCCUACGGGAGGCAGCAGUGGGGAAUAUUGCACAAUGGGCGAAAGCCUGAUGCAGCAACGCCGCGUGAGUGAAGAAGGUUUUCGGAUCGUAAAACUCUGUCAUCCGGGACGAUAAUGACGGUACCGGAUGAGGAAGCCACGGCUAACUACGUGCCAGCAGCCGCGGUAAUACGUAGGUGGCAAGCGUUGUCCGGAAUUAUUGGGCGUAAAGGGUGCGCAGGCGGAUAUUUAAGUGAGAUGUGAAAUACCCGGGCUUAACCCGGGCAGUGCAUUUCAAACUGGGUAUCUGGAGUGCAGGAGAGGAGAACGGAAUUCCUAGUGUAGCGGUGAAAUGCGUAGAUAUUAGGAAGAACACCAGUGGCGAAGGCGGCUCUCUGGACUGUAACUGACGCUGAGGCACGAAAGCGUGGGUAGCAAACAGGAUUAGAUACCCUGGUAGUCCACGCCGUAAACGAUGAGUACUAGGUGUAGGAGGUAUCGACCCCUUCUGUGCCGCAGUAAACACAAUAAGUACUCCGCCUGGGAAGUACGAUCGCAAGAUUAAAACUCAAAGGAAUUGACGGGGGCCCGCACAAGCAGCGGAGCAUGUGGUUUAAUUCGAAGCAACGCGAAGAACCUUACCUGGACUUGACAUCCCCUG
rnacentral:rRNA from 1 species